AACGAACGCUGGCGGCAGGCCUAACACAUGCAAGUCGAGCGAAGCCUUCGGGCUUAGCGGCGGACGGGUGAGUAACGCGUGGGAACGUGCCCUUUGGUACGGAAUAGCCCCGGGAAACUGGGAGUAAUACCGUAUGUGGUCGAGAGACGAAAGAUUUAUCGCCAAAGGAUCGGCCCGCGUUGGAUUAGGUAGUUGGUAGGGUAAUGGCCUACCAAGCCGACGAUCCAUAGCUGGUUUGAGAGGAUGAUCAGCCACACUGGGACUGAGACACGGCCCAGACUCCUACGGGAGGCAGCAGUGGGGAAUCUUGGACAAUGGGGGAAACCCAGAUCUAGCCAUGCCGCGUGAUCGAUGAAGGCCUUAGGGUUGUAAAGAUCUUUCAGUGGGGAAGAUAAUGACUGUACCCACAGAAGAAGCCCCGGCUAACUCCGUGCCAGCCGCCGCCGUAAGAC
rnacentral:rRNA from 1 species